rnacentral:rRNA from 1 species
GCUUAUGGCCAUAGCACCCUGAGCAUGCCUCUCUGAUCUGAUCUUGGACACUAAGCAGGGUUGGGCCUGGUUAGUACUUGAAUGAGAGACCACCUGGGAGUGCUGUUUCCUUUGGGUA